rnacentral:rRNA from 1 species
GACGAACGCNGGCGGCGUGCUUAACACAUGCAAGUCGAACGGAGCGAAUGAAAGCUUGCUUUUAUGAGCUUAGUGGCAAACGGGUGAGUAACACGUAGACAACCUGCCGAUCAGAUGGGGACAACAUUCCGAAAGGAAUGCUAAUACCGAAUGGUGUGCGGGGGAGGCAUCUCCCCCGCAUGAAAGAUGGCCUAUACAUGUAAGCUAUCACUGAUUGAUGGGUCUGCGUCUGAUUAGCUGGUAGGUAAGGUAACGGCUUACCUAGGCGACGAUCAGUAGCCGGUCUGAGAGGAUGAACGGCCACAUUGGGACUGAGACACGGCCCAGACUCCUACGGGAGGCAGCAGUGGGGAAUCUUCCGCAAUGGGCGCAAGCCUGACGGAGCAACGCCGCGUGAGUGAAGAAGGUCUUCGGAUCGUAAAGCUCUGUUGAAGGGGACGAACGUACGUAAGUNGAAUAAGCUUANGUAANGACGGUNCCUU